AAACUUUCAACAACGGAUCUCUUGGCUCUGGCAUCGAUGAAGAACGCAGCGAAAUGCGAUAAGUAAUGUGAAUUGCAGAAUUCAGUGAAUCAUCGAAUCUUUGAACGCACAUUGCGCCCGCCAGUAUUCUGGCGGGCAUGCCUGUUCGAGCGUCAUUACAACCCUC
rnacentral:rRNA from 1 species